rnacentral:tRNA from 1 species
GGAGGGGUGGCCGAGCGGUUUAAGGCGACAGUCUUGAAAAUUGUUGUAGGAUUAUAUCCUACCGUGAGUUCGAAUCUCACCCCCUCCG